rnacentral:rRNA from 1 species
UACGAAGGGGGCUAGCGUUGUUCGGAUUUACUGGGCGUAAAGCGCACGUAGGCGGAUUGUUAAGUCGGGGGUGAAAUCCUGGAGCUCAACUCCAGAAUUGCCUUCGAUACUGGCUUUCUAGAGGCUGGAAGAGGUUAGUGGAAUUCCCAGUGUAGAGGUGAAAUUCGUAGAUAUUAGGAAGAACACCAGUGGCGAAGGCGGCUCACUGGUCCGGUACUGACGCUGAGGUGCGAAAGCGUGGGGAGCAAACAGG